CGCCGGUAAGGUGAUAUGAACCGUUAUAACCGGCGAUACCCGAAUGGGGAAACCCAGUGUGACUCGUCACACUAUCAUUAACUGAAUCCAUAGGUUAAUGAGGCGAACCGGGGGAACUGAAACAUCUAAGUACCCCGAGGAAAAGAAAUCAACCGAGAUUCCCCCAGUAGCGGCGAGCGAACGGGGAGGAGCCCAGAGCCUGAAUCAGCAUGUGUGUUAGUGGAAGCGUCUGGAAAGGCGCGCGAUACAGGGUGACAGCCCCGUACACAAAAGCGCAUGUGCUGUGAGCUCGAUGAGUAGGGCGGGACACGUGGUAUCCUGUCUGAAUAUGGGGGGACCAUCCUCCAAGGCUAAAUACUCCUGACUGACCGAUAGUGAACCAGUACCGUGAGGGAAAGGCGAAAAGAACCCCGGCGAGGGGAGUGAAAAAGAACCUGAAACCGUGUACGUACAAGCAGUGGGAGCACAGGUUUACCUG
rnacentral:rRNA from 1 species